AAUUACAGAAGUAAAAAAUGAUCCUAAUUGAUAUAGCUGCUGAUUUGGAGAUUCCAAUGAGACGUUGUUUCCCAAACCAAAUAGACUGGCUCAACUACUUGGUUUGGUUACUUUUACCCCCUCCUCCCCGAAUACACACUUGGUUUGUCGCCAUCGGGUAGGGAAGCUCAUCUGAUGUGUACCGUCUUCCACGACAGUUUUGGAUAGAAAUCUACAAAUUUGUAAUCUAGUAAAAACAGCCAAAUAUUCAGAGAAAACUUAAAUGACUACAGAGGGGAGGCUAGCGAAAUUAAUUUCUGAAGAAAUGGAAAUGCUUCUGGAACCUCCCUCAAUAAGGCAAGCAUGAUAGAUAAACGUCUUAUCAAACCUAAUUUUUCCUUUAAAAAAUAAAUCUCCAUUUUCCGAUCAUCUUCACACCACUGCGCUUCCUAGAUAUAUAAAAUUGACCACCAAAACAAAGCCAAUACGCUGAAUAAUCUCAUAUCAUCGCACCAAUGGCGAGGUUUUUUUUUUUUCUGAUGAAGGCAAAGUUCAAGAGAUUCCCGAGAUCAAAUAGGAACAUAGUCUUGAAUGGAAUCCAACAGAGUAUCCAAUUGAACGGUUGCCAUAUGGGAUAGUCUUCCCCAAUGGAUGUGAGCCUCCUAAUUACAACAUAAAUUUCAAUUGGCACUGGUAGACACUUAAUAAAAUUAUGCAGUGAAAGUUGAGCCUUUGCUUAGAGGAGGAACUCCCGGGAUUGAGCAUCGUCAGUUGCGAAGUCGUCUUGCAUUUGAUCAUGAUUCCACUCUGAAACUGGUAAUGUUUCUAACCCGUCUCUUUUUAAAAAUAACAUUGAUGGGAUUGAAAGUAGCAGUAGUGAUGGAGGAGGUGAUCAAUACAGGGGAGAGGAUCAAAGAUGUGGAUGGCAAGGGUAAGUCUCCAACAGAGCAAGAUCAUGCAGGAAUUGAAACACCAAUUGCAUCUGCUGGCUUUUCUGAUGAUGAUGAGUAGGUCAUCUAUGUAACCCUUCCCCAAUUCAGUCUAUUUGUUGUUCAUGAGGGUAUUGUAGUGAUUUAUGAUAGGUUUGUGAUUGCUGGUGGAUGCCAAAUGGGAUUUGAUUCCUUUACAGUGCCAUCAAAGGGUUGCUUUUCCAUGUUAUUGCCGGAGAUGUAGAGGUAACUCUGCCUUUCACUAUUCCAAGAGUCAAUAAUCUAAGGGUAACCAUUACACCCAGAGAGCAAGCUCUCCCACUGCUGAUCCCAGCUCGUCUAGCCCACAUGACUGGGAGUCGUGCCCGGACCGUCACUCAAGGGACAGGGAACCAAAGUCGGAAGCAGUAUAUUGGUUUGAGGUGAAAAGGAGCUCAAGUAAAAUGAGGUAUUUUGGGUUAUGGGAAGUUCAAGUUUGGUAACUUUAUGAUAGAACUUGUGAUCAAAGACAAUAUCUGUUUUUUGGAAAGUUAAUUUACUGUUUUGUUUAGAUAUCCUUGUUUUUAUCUGAAUUAAAAAGGGUAAUCAUGUAGUUGAUUGAUGUUCUUUUGCUUAUAUCUUUUUGGGGUCUGAGAUUGAUUGUGAGUUUAAUGGUAGCGGGCCAACCUAAAUGUUUUUUAUUUUAUUUUUAAAUAUUUCCUCUAGGUAUUCUGAUAAAUCUUAACCGUAAAAAGCUUGUGGGUUAGGUAUUUAACAUGAUUCUAGUUUUGAGAUAUGUUAACGUGUUGAAUGGGUAUAACGAUUUUUUGGAAAUUGAAUCGAGAUUACAGUUGUAUCAUCCCUCAGAUAGCAGACAAUUUGGUAGGUUUUUGGGAAGAAUUAUGAUGAUGGAGACUUUCUCUGUGGGAUGUAGAAUUUUGAAUAACUGUACGCUGAAUUUUGAGGGCUCUGUGAUUGUCAUGCUUAUUACUUGCAGUGAUUCCAAAUGAGAUUUGAUUGCUUAGAAAUCCAUAGUAGUUAAGCUUACUUUGGUUGCUUUGAUUGUUGGACUUGUUGGUCUUGCGGUAAAUGAUUCAAAUACUGUAACUUAUGUGAUGUCUAUUCUGGUUGAAA